UAUUUAUUAGAUAAAAAACCAAUGCCCUUCGGGGCUCCUUGGUGAAUCAUAAUAACUUAACGAAUCGCAUGGCCUUGCGCCGGCGAUGGUUCAUUCAAAUUUCUGCCCUAUCAACUUUCGAUGGUAGGAUAGUGGCCUACCAUGGUAUCAACGGGUAACGGGGAAUUAGGGUUCGACUCCGGAGAGGGAGCCUGAGAAACGGCUACCACAUCCAAGGAAGGCAGCAGGCGCGCAAAUUACCCAAUCCCGACACGGGGAGGUAGUGACAAUAAAUACUGAUACAGGGCUCUUUUGGGUCUUGUAAUUGGAAUGAGUACAAUUUAAAUCCCUUAACGAGGAACAAUUGGAGGGCAAGUCUGGUGCUAGCAGCCGCGGUAAUUCCAGCUCCAAUAGCGUAUAUUAAAGUUGUUGCAGUUAAAAAGCUCGUAGUUGAACCUUGGGCCUGGCCGGCCGGUCCGCCUCACCGCGUGUACUGGUCCGGCCGGGCCUUUCCUUCUGGGGAACCUCAUGCCCUUCACUGGGCGUGUUGGGGAACCAGGACUUUUACUUUGAAAAAAUUAGAGUGUUCAAAGCAGG
rnacentral:rRNA from 1 species